CUGAGUUAUGGGGUGAUGAUGCUGAAGAAUUCAGACCAGAGAGAUUCUCUGAAGGAAUUUCAAAGGCAUCUAAAAAUCAUUUAGCAUUCGUCCCUUUUGGUGGGGGUCAAAGAACCUGUGUUGGCCAAAACUUUGCCAUGUUAGAAGCGAAGACAGUUUUGGCUAGAAUUCUACAGCAUUUCUCUUUUGAGCUUUCACCUUCCUACACGCAUGCUCCUUAUGCUUUUCCGUUGCUGCGGCCACAGCAUGGAGCUCAAAUCAUAAUACACCAAAUAUGAGUUAUAAGCUUUCUCACAAACAUAAUGAUUUGCAUCUUGUGAACAAUGUCUUCUUUGCAGAAAGUUAAUUUUCUCGCGUGUCAGAUUGCUGCAGUAGAGUUGUAAUCACUUCCAAUAUUGAAUUUCAGAAAUAAAUCCCAAAGAUAGUGUUCCCAGCUAAACGGUUCUAUUAUUUUCCUAGUUUGUUAAUACUUCUGUAGUCCCA
rnacentral:misc_RNA from 1 species